rnacentral:rRNA from 1 species
CCAAUAGCGUAUAUUAAAGUUGUUGCAGUUAAAAAGCUCGUAGUUGAACUUCGGGGUUUACCCAUUGGUCAGGCUUAAUUGUCUGUACUGGUGAGAUAAAUCUCUACCUUCUGAGGAACUUUCAUGCCAUUUAUUUGGUGUGAUGGGAAAUCAGAACUGUUACUUUGAAAAAAUUAGAGUGUUUAAAGCAGGCUAACGUCUGAAUACAUUAGCAUGGAAUAAUGAAAUAGGAUGGGCUGAUUCUAUUUCGUUGGUUUCUAGGAUCACCGUAAUGAUUAAUAGGAAUAGUUGGGGGCAUUAGUAUUCAAUUGUCAGAGGUGAAAUUCUUGGAUUUAUUGAAGACUAACUACUGCGAAAGCAUUUGCCAAGGAUGUUUUCAUUAAUCAAGAACGAAAGUUAGGGGAUCGAAGACGAUCAGAUACCGUCGUAGUCUUAACCAUAAACUAUGCCGACUAGGGAUCGGACGAAGUUAAUUUUAUAAUGACGCGUUCGGCACCUUACG